GACAAACGCUGGCGGCGUGCCUAACACAUGCAAGUCGAGCGAUCGGCUCGGGAGGGGUAACCCACCCGAGUACGGAGCGGCGAACGGGUGAGUAACACGUGGGCAACCUGCCCCAGGCUCUGGAACAACCCCGGGAAACCGGGGCUGAUGCCGGAUAUUCUCGAGCACUCGCAUGGGAGCUCGAGGAAAGUUCAGGCGGCCUGGGGUGGGCCCGCGGCCUAUCAGCUAGUUGGUGGGGUAACGGCCCACCAAGGCGACGCAGGGUAGCUGGCGUGAGAGGUUGGCCGACCCCACUGGGACGGACACACGGCCCAGGCUCCUACGGGAGGCAGCAGUGGGGAAUCUUGCACAAUGGGCGAAAGCCUGAUGCAGCGAGGCCGCGUGGGGGAUGAAGGCCUUCGGGUUGUAAACCCCUUUCGGCAGGGAAGAAGCCGCAAGGUGACGGUACCUGCAGAAGAAGCCCCGGCCAACUACGUGCCAGCCGCCGCCGCAGUAA
rnacentral:rRNA from 1 species